rnacentral:rRNA from 1 species
GAUGAACGCUGGCGGCGUGCCUAAUACAUGCAAGUCGAGCGAACAGACGAGGAGCUUGCUCCUCUGACGUUAGCGGCGGACGGGUGAGUAACACGUGGAUAACCUACCUAUAAGACUGGGAUAACUUCGGGAAACCGGAGCUAAUACCGUAUAACAUGUUGAACCGCAUGGUUCAACAGUGAAAGACGGUCUUGCUGUCACUUAUAGAUGGAUCCGCGCCGCAUUAGCUAGUUGGUAAGGUAACGGCUUACCAAGGCAACGAUGCGUAGCCGACCUGAGAGGGUGAUCGGCCACACUGGAACUGAGACACGGUCCAGACUCCUACGGGAGGCAGCAGUAGGGAAUCUUCCGCAAUGGGCGAAAGCCUGACGGAGCAACGCCGCGGGAGUGAAGAAGGUCUUCGGAUCGUAAAACUCUGUUAUUAGGGAAGAACAAAUGUGUAAGUAACUAUGCACGUCUGGACGGUACCUAAUCAGAAAGCCACGGCUAACUACGU